rnacentral:rRNA from 1 species
AACGAACGCUGGCGGCAGGCUUAACACAUGCAAGUCGAACGGCACGGCCGGGGAGUGGCGGGGGGGUGGGUAAGCCGUGGGGACAUACCCUUUUCUAUGGCCUGGCCUUGGGAAAGGGGAAUUUAUAGCGAAUUGGGGCUAAUGGGGGAAGAUUUCUCGGGGAAGGAGUGGGCCGUGUUGGAUUUGCUAGUUGGUGGGGUGAAGGCCUACCAAGGCGACGAGUCAUAGCUGGUCUGAGAGGAGGACCAGCCAGAUUGGGACUGAGACACGGACCCAACCCCUACGGGAGGCAGCAGUGGGGAAUAUUAGGCAAUGGGCGCAAGCCUGACCCAGCCAUGCCGCGUGAGUGAUGAAGGCCUUAGUGUUGUAAAGCUCUUUCACCGAUGAAGAUAAUGACGGUAGUGGGAGAAGAAGCCCCGGCUAACUUCGUG